rnacentral:SRP_RNA from 1 species
GCCGGGCGUGGUGGCGCGAGCCUUUAGGAGGCUGAGGUGGGAGGAUCGCUUGAGCCCAGGAGUUCUGGGCUGUAGUGCGCUAUGCCGAUCAGGUGUCUGCACUAAGUUCUGCAUCAAUAUGGUGACCUCCCAGGAGCAGGGGACCACCAGGUUGCCUAAGGAGGGGUGAACUGGCCUAGGUCAGAAACAGAGCAGGUCAAAACUCCCAUGCUGAUCAGUAGUGGGAUCGCGCCUGUGAAUAGCCACUGCACUCCAGCCUGGGUAACAUAGUGAGACCCCAUCUCU